AGCAGUGGGGAAUAUUGCACAAUGGGCGCAAGCCUGAUGCAGCCAUGCCGCGUGUAUGAAGAAGGCCUUCGGGUUGUAAAGUACUUUCAGCAGUGAGGAAGGUGGGUAUGUUAAUAGCAUACUCAUUUGACGUUAGCUGCAGAAGAAGCACCGGCUAACUCCGUGCCAGCAGCCGCGGUAAUACGGAGGGUGCGAGCGUUAAUCGGAAUUACUGGGCGUAAAGCGCAUGCAGGUGGUUUGUUAAGUCAGAUGUGAAAGCCCCGGGGCUCAACCUCGGAAUUGCAUUUGAAACUGGCAAACUAGAGUACUGUAGAGGGGGUAGAAUUUCAGGUGUAGCGGUGAAAAUGCGUAGAGAUCUGAAGGAAUACCGGUGGCGAAGGCGGCCCCCUGGACAGAUACUGACACUCAGAUGCGAAAGCGUGGGGAGCAAACAGGAUUAGAUACCCUGGUAG
rnacentral:rRNA from 1 species